UGAGGAAUAUUGGUCAAUGGACGCAAGUCUGAACCAGCCAUGCCGCGUGCAGGAAGAAGGUGCUAUGCAUUGUAAACUGCUUUUAUACGGGGGUAAUUACAGAUACGUGUAUCUGGUUGAAAGUACCGUAUGAAUAAGGAUCGGCUAACUCCGUGCCAGCAGCCGCGGUAAUACGGAGGAUCCGAGCGUUAUCCGGAUUUAUUGGGUUUAAAGGGUGCGUAGGCGGUCAGGUAAGUUAGAGGUGAAAGCUCGAUGCUCAACAUCGAAAUCUGCCUCUGAUACUGUCUGACUAGAGUGUAGUUGCGGAAGGCGGAAUGUGUGGUGUAGCGGUGAAAUGCUUAGAUAUCACACAGAACACCGAUUGCGAAGGCAGCUUUCCAAGCUAUUACUGACGCUGAGGCACGAAAGCGUGGGGGAGCGAACAGGAUUAGAUACC
rnacentral:rRNA from 1 species